rnacentral:rRNA from 1 species
UACCUGGUGACAGGAUGCGAAUCUCGAAAGCCGGUCUCAGUUCGGAUUGGAGGCUGAAACUCGCCUCCAUGAAGUUGGAUUCGCUAGUAAUCGCGCAUCAGCCAUGGCGCGGUGAAUACGUUCCCGGGCCUUGUACACACCGCCCGUCAAGCCAUGGGAGUUGGGGGUGCCUGAAGUACGUGACCGCAAGGAGCGUCCUAGGGCAAAACCGAUGACUGGGGCUAAGUCGUAACAAGGUAUC